rnacentral:rRNA from 1 species
CGCUUACCACGUUGUUAUUCAUGACUGGGGUGAAGUCGUAACAAGGUAACCGUAGGGGAACCUGCGGUUGGAUCACCUCCUUA